UUAGAGUUUGAUCCUGGCUCAGGAUGAACGCUGGCGGCGUGCCUAACACAUGCAAGUCGAACGAAGCAGAGGGGCGGAAUUUUUUCGGAGAGGAAGCCCCCCUGACUGAGUGGCGGACGGGUGAGUAACGCGUGGACAACCUACCCCGCACUGGGGGACAACAGCUGGAAACGGCUGCUAAUACCGCAUAUGCGCACGGCCCCGCAUGGGGCCGCGCGGAAAGCGCAUGCGGUGCGGGAUGGGUCCGCGUCUGAUUAGCUUGUUGGCGGGGUAACGGCCCACCAAGGCGACGAUCAGUAGCCGGCCUGAGAGGGCGGCCGGCCACAUUGGGACUGAGACACGGCCCAAACUCCUACGGGAGGCAGCAGUAGGGAAUCUUCCACAAUGGGCGAAAGCCUGAUGGAGCAACGCCGCGUGGGUGAAGAAGGUCUUCGGAUCGUAAAACCCUGUUGUUAGAGAAGAAAGUGCGUGAGAGUAACUGUUCACGUUUCGACGGUAUCUAACCAGAAAGCCACGGCUAACUACGUGCCAGCAGCCGCGGUAAUACGUAGGUGGCAAGCGUUAUCCGGAUUUAUUGGGCGUAAAGGGAACGCAGGCGGUCUUUUAAGUCUGAUGUGAAAGCCUUCGGCUUAACCGGAGUAGUGCAUUGGAAACUGGGAGACUUGAGUGCAGAAGAGGAGAGUGGAACUCCAUGUGUAGCGGUGAAAUGCGUAGAUAUAUGGAAGAACACCAGUGGCGAAAGCGGCUCUCUGGUCUGUAACUGACGCUGAGGUUCGAAAGCGUGGGUAGCAAACAGGAUUAGAUACCCUGGUAGUCCACGCCGUAAACGAUGAAUGCUAAGUGUUGGAGGGUGUCCGCCCUUCAGUGCUGCAGCUAACGCAAUAAGCAUUCCGCCUGGGGAGUACGACCGCAAGGUUGAAACUCAAAGGAAUUGACGGGGGCCCGCACAAGCGGUGGAGCAUGUGGUUUAAUUCGAAGCAACGCGAAGAACCUUACCAGGUCUUGACAUCUUCUGACAAUCCUAGAGAUAGGACUUUCCCUUCGGGGACAGAAUGACAGGUGGUGCAUGGUUGUCGUCAGCUCGUGUCGUGAGAUGUUGGGUUAAGUCCCGCAACGAGCGCAACCCCUAUUGUUAGUUGCCAGCACUAAGUUGGGCACUCUAGCAAGACUGCCGGUGACAAACCGGAGGAAGGUGGGGAGGACGUCAAAUCAUCAUGCCCCCUAUGACCUGGGCUACACACGUGCUACAAUGGACGGUACAACGAGUCGCAAGACCGCGAGGUUUAGCAAAUCUCUUAAAGCCGUUCUCAGUUCGGAUUGUAGGCUGCAACUCGCCUACAUGAAGUCGGAAUCGCUAGUAAUCGCAGAUCAGAAUGCUGCGGUGAAUACGUUCCCGGGUCUUGCACUCACCGCCCGUCA
rnacentral:rRNA from 1 species